rnacentral:rRNA from 1 species
GAGUUUGAUCGUGGCUCAGAUUGAACGCUGGCGGCAGGCCUAACACAUGCAAGUCGAGCGGAUGAAGGGAGCUUGCUCCUGGAUUCAGCGGCGGACGGGUGAGUAAUGCCUAGGAAUCUGCCUGGUAGUGGGGGAUAACGUCCGGAAACGGGCGCUAAUACCGCAUACGUCCUGAGGGAGAAAGUGGGGGAUCUUCGGACCUCACGCUAUCAGAUGAGCCUAGGUCGGAUUAGCUAGUUGGUGGGGUAAAGGCCUACCAAGGCGACGAUCCGUAACUGGUCUGAGAGGAUGAUCAGUCACACUGGAACUGAGACACGGUCCAGACUCCUACGGGAGGCAGCAGUGGGGAAUAUUGGACAAUGGGCGAAAGCCUGAUCCAGCCAUGCCGCGUGUGUGAGAAGGUCUUCGGAUUGUAAAGCACUUUAAGUUGGGAGGAAGGGCGAGUAAGUUAAUACCUUGCUGUUUUGACGUUACCAACAGAAUAAGCACCGGCUAACUUCGUGCCAGCCGCCGCAGUAA